GCAAAAUGAAAUGCACAUCAAUUAUUACAGAAAACUUUAAAACCAGGCCUCUUUAGUAACAGAGAGUUGUGUCUUGGAGGGACUAAAUCCACCAAAAUAUCCUGGGAAAGCCUAAGAUCAGCCAAAUUGCAGCAUAACCUCCCAGCAUUCUGAACAGAAGCAAGAGAGCAGGAAAAUGGUGCCAGUCUCUAACUGUGUGGAACAGGAUAAUGAGGCACGUUUCUCUCCAUGGUCUGAGCCUUCUUCAGGAUAUGAUAAUUGAAUUGAUCUUACUCUACAGACAUGGAUGGUUUGGAAUGGCUGUUCCAUGGUUUCCCUCUUUGUUGCCAGCACAAUCUGUAAAGCUUGGAGAGAGAACACAUCUUCAUUCGGCUUUGCAAAAAAGGUCUAAAUCAGGUUUAGACUGAGAAUGUCAGAGGAUGGAAGACAUUGGAGCAAAGACAA